ACUCAAAUGAAUAGACGGGGACCCGCACAAGCGGUGGAGCAUGUGGUUUAAUUCGAUGCUACGCGAAGAACCUUACCAAGGCUUGACAUCUCCGGAAUCUCCUGGAAACAGGGGAGUGCCUUCGGGAACCGGAUGACAGGUGUUGCAUGGCCGUCGUCAGCUCGUGUCGUGAGAUGUUGGGUUAAGUCCCGCAACGAGCGCAACCCCUAUCGUCUGUUGUAAUUUCAGGCGAGACUGCCCGGGCCAACCGGGAGGAAGGUGGGGUCGAAGUCAGGUCAGCAUGGCCCUUACGCCUUGGGCUACACACGUGCUACAAUGGCCGGUACAAUGCGUUUGCCAACCCGUGAGGGGGAGCUAAUCGUAUCAAAACCGGUCCCAGUUCGGAUUGAAGGCUGCAACUCGCCUCCAUGAAGUCGGAAUCGCUAGUAACCGUAGGUCAGCAUACUACGGUGAAUACGUUCCCGGGUCUUGUACACACCGCCCGU
rnacentral:rRNA from 1 species